UACGAAGGGGGCUAGCGUUGCUCGGAAUCACUGGGCGUAAAGGGUGCGUAGGCGGGUCUUUAAGUCAGGGGUGAAAUCCUGGAGCUCAACUCCAGAACUGCCUUUGAUACUGAAGAUCUUGAGUUCGGGAGAGGUGAGUGGAACUGCGAGUGUAGAGGUGAAAUUCGUAGAUAUUCGGAAGAACACCAGUGGCGAAGGCGGCUCACUGGCCCGUUACCGACGCUCAGGCGCGACAGCGUGGGGAGCAAACAGG
rnacentral:rRNA from 1 species